rnacentral:lncRNA from 1 species
UUUUUUCUUAUUUUUUUCGAGUGCGCUUCAGUGAAGUUAAGCACGGGUAUGCUACAGUGCGGUUCAGAUUGGGUCUGUCAACCGAAAUACUACUAAUUUUUCUAGUGGAUGUAUGUAUGGUUGUGUGUGAGAAGUUUUUAGUUGCGGAGGAAAGAGGGAGAGCAAUCCACUUGAUGAAUAUGACAGAAGUCACAUUUCUGAUGCUUG